rnacentral:tRNA from 1 species
GGGGUGAUAACUCAGUGAUAAAGCACUUGCCUAGCAUGCAUGAGGCCAUGGGUUCAAUCCCCAUCACCACA